rnacentral:lncRNA from 1 species
CCUCCUUAUUGACAUCCUCUCCUCCCUUGGCUUCUGAGACACUCUAUUCUGGUUUUCCAUGGGCUUGGCCACCUGGCUCAUUAUGCCUCUGAGGAAGGAGGUGGAGAGUUGGGUGCCACAGUCUAGGAAGGAGAGUGAGGAACUGGAAACUGUUCAGAAGAAAGAAAACAGAAUACUGAAUCUUCAAAUCCAUUCCAUGAUUAGGGCAGAGAGAGAUUGCAGGUGACUGAGAAAUUGAAGAAUAAAGUCGCAUUCCAGAGAUGUCAAAUCUCAUUUUGCAAAUGAAUAAACUGAGGCAAACAGGGAUAAGUCACUUGCCCAGGGUCAUGCCACUACUAGGUAUAUCACCAGCCACAGAAAUUCCUUUGGACAACCGCUCUUCACUGUCAUCAAUGGAUUCACUAAUAAUCACUGCCCUGUUGAUGUUUAAGUAUAUUUCGUAUGCCAGAAUCAUAUCAGGUUCAGUGAGCCAGAACAGUCAAAAGAUCCUAUGUUUGGGACUUCAGUGUAGCUUGGAAGUAACCAUGAGCUCUGGAAGGCUACAUGAACAGAUCUCAAGUUAUGGAAGAUUAUCCUAUUCUGAGAGGGCUUCAGGUAUGAUCCUGGUAACAGAUUAUGGAUGCUUCCUGGGAACCAACUCAGCUAAAUACAGAGAGGAUCACCACCAGUACAUUAGCCAUUUUGUGAUUAGUUUUUUAGCUAUGCCAACCCAUGAGAAAAAAAAAGUCCAACAUGGAUCUCCACUUCUGUACAUUGUAGUCCCUUCUCUACAUGUCUUAUGUUUAUAGUGGCUAAGUAGCUGAAAGAACAGUGGCACAUCUAUUCAUAUACAAUUUUGAGACUAUCUAUAAACUAUAACCCGAGUAUUCCAAAUGUGAGAUCCUUGUCUGAUGACAAAUAAAUAUAUAAUUAGAGGAAUUAUGUAAAAGAUU